UGGGGAAUAUUGGACAAUGGGGGCAACCCUGAUCCAGCCAUUCCGCGUGAGUGAAGAAGGCCUUCGGGUUGUAAAGCUCUUUCAGCAGGAACGAAACGGUCGGCUUUAAUAAAGUCGGCUAAUGACGGUACCUGCAGAAGAAGCACCGGCUAACUACGUGCCAGCAGCCGCGGUAAUACGUAGGGUGCGAGCGUUAAUCGGAAUUACUGGGCGUAAAGCGUGCGCAGGCGGCGACAUAAGACAGAUGUGAAAUCCCCGGGCUCAACCUGGGAACUGCGUUUGUGACUGUGUUGCUAGAGUGUAGCAGAGGGGGGUGGAAUUCCACGUGUAGCAGUGAAAUGCGUAGAGAUGUGGAGGAACACCGAUGGCGAAGGCAGCCCCCUGGGUUAACACUGACGCUCAUGCACGAAAGCGUGGGGAGCAAACAGGAUUAGAUACCCAAGUAGUCCCUGAGCGGGCUGGCAAGGCGC
rnacentral:rRNA from 1 species